UGGGCUAAAGUAUAGGCUAUUAAUUUGGUGUCUACAUUUAGUAAAGUUAUAGGUCUAUAAUUGUCUAGGGAUAGCGGGUCAUUUUUUUUGUACAAUAAAGAUACUAUUCCUAUUUUUUGUAAUGUUGUUAAUUCUUCUUUCUCGUAACACCUAUUGAAAACUUCUACAGCUAGUUCUUUUAUAUUAUCCCAGAAUGUGCGAUAGAAUUCAACACUUAGACCAUCUAUACCUGGUGAUUUGUUUAGUUUCAUAUUAAAAAUGGCUUCUGUGCAUUCUUCUAUUGAGAUGCUGCCGCCUAGAGAGCUUUUCUCGUCAUCACUUAAUUUAUGAUCUAUUUUUUGUUUCUUCAACAUAUUGCUUAAUAUUAUUAACAUCUGGAUUUGUACUUUUAUAUAAAUUUUCAUAGUAACAUUUUUCUAAAUUUAAAAUUUCUGAUGGUUCUGUUAUAAUUUUGUCUUGCUUAUCUUUCAAUGCCGAAAUAUUUUUUUUUUGUUUGUCUUGAUUUUUCUAAACCUAAAAAGAAUUUUGUGUUUUUUUCCCCUUCUUCUAACCAUUUGACUCGAGAUCUUACUUGUGCACCUUUAACUUCAUCUUUAUAAAGAUUUUCUAGAUUUUUUUCAAUUUUUUCUAUUUCAUCUUUAGUUUCUUUUGAAGGAUUAAUUUUAUUAUUUAAUCUUUGUAAGUUCAUUUCUAAUUCUUUUAUUUUAUUUUUCUUUUCAGAUGACUUGUAUUUACAAUACAUAACAGUUAUGUCCCUUACUUCAGAUUUGAAGAUAUCCCAUAUAUCUCUUGAAUCUCUGGUAAGUGCCUUUUCUUUAUAUUUUAGAAUAAGAUUGUUUAUAUGGUUUUUUAUAAUUAUCAUCUAUUAAAAUACUAUUAUUUAUUUUAAAGAAACCUCUUCCUCUGCCAUGGUGAUUUUGUCUUAUUUUUUAACGAAAUGGCUUGGUGAUCAGUGUAUGAUAUCAUAGCAGGUCUUAUAUCAGAAUUGAUUACAUGUGGCCUUAUAUCUGGACUGAUCAAAAAGAAAUCUAUUCUGCUUGUUAUAUUCGUAUUGUUUUUCCUUCUCCAUGUAAAUUGAAUUUUGUUUGGAUUUAUUUCCCUCCAUAUAUCUAUUAAUUUGUGUUUUUUAAUGAGCUGCUGUUUAAGGCUAUUUACUGGUUUAUAGUAUUUAUGAGAGCUAUUUGAUUUCCUAUCUAUUUUUAAUAGGGUUUCAUUCAUGUCCCCUCCUAAAAUUAAAAUACCUAAUCGAUUAUUUUCUAUGAUGUUAUUUACCUUUUUGAAAAAUUUAUUUCUGUUAGUAUGAAUGUUUGGGGCAUAUACAUUUAUUAAGGUAAAAAUGUUAUCGUUAACUUCAAUGUUGAGCAAAAUAAUUCUGCCAUCAUUAUCUUUAACUUCAUUUAUUAGUUUAUAAUUUAAACUGUCUUUAAUCAUUAUUGAAACGCCUCUUGAUUGGGAACUUCCAUAGCUAUGAAAAAAUUUACCUUUUACUUCACUAUUAAUAAUAUGUUCAUUUUUCUCUAUUAGAUGGGAUUCUUGUAUAAAUAAUAUAUUACAUUUUUGAUGUUUAUUCCAUAUAAAUAUAAUCUCUCUCUUUUCUCUUUCUGUCCUAAACCUUGACAGUUUAAGGAUAUAAGAUGUAUAUUGUCACUCAUUGUUUUUACCUAAGGAAUAUUCAAUUUUAUACAUUAAAUAUAGCUGUACAAUUCUGGUUCUCAUAAUUAGUGUAAUAACCCACUUAAUAGUACAUGUUAAUGAGACUAUUAUUAGAACAACAUGUCUUAUUACAUUAUUUACAUGUUUGUAAAUACACAAGGUUAAAUGCACGGUUAACUUCUUUUUUUCAAAGACACAAUAUAGUAAUAAAAAUAUCAUUAUAAAAAAUAUAUUUGCAAGAAAUUACUAUUAUAACAGUAUAACAUAACAUAAAUAACGGGUUUGAUUAUGUUAACCCUUUUCGAGCUAAAUUUUGUUUGUUUACAUAUCAAUACUAUGUAUCUCAUACACGAAUAACAAAGCUUAAUUGUAUUUAAAUAUACAAAUGUAUCAUUCAAAUCACUGUUCACUUUUCCAAUAAUCAGGAAAGAUUCUAUCAUGAUUCUCUUUGAUCUCUGAAUUGUUUUAUCGAGUAAUCUAUUUUUAGAUACGGUGAAAACCCAGAAAUUUAGGGGUUUUUGGAAUCGGGUCAGCAUGCAUAUGAAUAUAACUGUAGUUAUACUGUUUUUAGUUAGGUAUGUCACAUGUAUGACGAUAAUGUAAAUUAAAAAGAGAAAGUAUUUUUGAACAAUUAAAAAUAGUUGCAGAUACAUGUUUACAUUAAUGAUUACAUUGAUUGACCUACUUAAAUAGUUGUUUAUUGAUGUGAGUGUUUGAUAUAAGCUAUUUUGUAAAAGAACAAACACAUAACUUUUAUUUACAUAUGUAUCAAUUCUUUUCAGGUAUUUUAGAGUGGUAGUUACCAUGGAUGUGGACGUAGCUUGUACAAAAAAUAUGUGAACUAUAUAGGAGGAACUAAUUUUCAGUUUUUGGAUACCUAAAGCAAUAGUGGUGUUUUUAAUAUGCCAAUCGUUGAAAUUGAUACUAUCUGUAUCCUGGUGAACUAAGUGAGAUAAUGUAUAUGGCAGAUCUUGAGCAGUUUUAAAGUUAUUCCUAGUACAUGUAUGUGAGGAAUUGACACAUUUAUUAACAUGGAUUUUAUAUUUCAAAGAAGUGAUUUCAUCAACUAAGUGAUAUGGAACGCAGCUAAAGUUAGUCAAUUUACCAAUCAAACUGACACCAUUCAGAUUGGGAUUUACAGGUGUUUUGAAUUGAU
rnacentral:lncRNA from 1 species